rnacentral:rRNA from 1 species
AUUGAACGCUGGCGGCAUGCCUUACACAUGCAAGUCGAACGGCAGCACGGGAGCAAUCCUGGUGGCGAGUGGCGAACGGGUGAGUAAAGUAUCGGAACGUGCCCAGUCGUGGGGGAUAACGUAGCGAAAGCUACGCUAAUACCGCAUACGAUCUAUGGAUGAAAGCGGGGGAUCGCAAGACCUCGCGCGAUUGGACCGGCCGAUAUCAGAUUAGGUAGUUGGUGGGGUAAAGGCUCACCAAGCCGACGAUCUGUAGCUGGUCUGAGAGGACGACCAGCCACACUGGGACUGAGACACGGCCCAGACUCCUACGGGAGGCAGCAGUGGGGAAUUUUGGACAAUGGGCGAAAGCCUGAUCCAGCCAUGCCGCGUGCAGGAUGAAGGCCUUCGGGUUGUAAACUGCUUUUGUACGGAACGAAAAGGUUUGGCCUAAUAAGCUGAGCUCAUGACGGUACCGUAAGAAUAAGCACCGGCUAACUACGUGCCAGCCGCCGCGGUAA